rnacentral:rRNA from 1 species
GACGAACGCUGGCGGCGUGCUUAACACAUGCAAGUCGAACGGUGAAGCGCCUUCCUUUUUGGUGGGUGUGGAUGAGUGGCGAACGGGUGAGUAACACGUGAGUAACCUGCCCCCUUCUUCUGGAUAACCGCAUGAAAGUGUGGCUAAUACGGGAUAUUCUGGGUCUGUCGCAUGAUGGGUCUGGGAAAGAUAUUGUUUCGGUGGGGGAUGGGCUCGCGGCCUAUCAGCUUGUUGGUGGGGUGAUGGCCUACCAAGGCGGUGACGGGUAGCCGGCCUGAGAGGGUGGACGGUCACACUGGGACUGAGACACGGCCCAGACUCCGACGGGAGGCAGCAGUGGGGAAUAUUGCACAAUGGGCGAAAGCCUGAUGCAGCGACGCCGCGGGAGGGAUGGAGGCCUUCGGGUUGUGAACCUCUUUCGCCAGUGAAGCAGGCCUGCCUCGUUUGUGGGUGGGUUGACGGUAGCUGGAUAAGAAGCGCCGGCUAACUACGUG